GUGGGGAAUAUUGGACAAUGGGGGCAACCCUGAUCCAGCCAUGCCGCGUGAGUGAUGAAGGCCUUCGGGUUGUAAAGCUCUUUUGGUGGGGACGAUGAUGACGGUACCCACAGAAUAAGCUCCGGCUAACUUCGUGCCAGCAGCCGCGGUAAUACGAAGGGAGCUAGCGUUGUUCGGAAUUACUGGGCGUAAAGGGCGCGUAGGCGGUCAGGCAAGUCAGGUGUGAAAGCCCUGGGCUCAACCCGGGAAUUGCGCUUGAUACUACUUGGCUUGAAUUCGGGAGAGGUUGGUGGAAUUCCCAGUGUAGAGGUGAAAUUCGUAGAGAUUGGGAAGAACACCCGUGGCGAAGGCGGCCAACUGGACCGACAUUGACGCUGAGGCGCGAAAGCGUGGGGAGCAAACAGGAUUAGAAACCCCAGUAGUCC
rnacentral:rRNA from 1 species